GAUUGUCCCAGCCGCCGCGGUAAUACGGAGGGGGCUAGCGUUAGCUCGGAAUUACUGGGCGUAAAAGGCGCACGUAGGCGGAUCAAUAAAGACAGAGGUGAAAUCCCCUGGCUCAACCUGGGAACUGCCUUUGAUACUGCAAAGCUAGAGUUCUGAAGAGGGGGAUAGGAAUAUCCGCGUGUAGCAGUGAAAUGCUUAGAUAUGCCGGUAGGAACACCAAUGGCGAAGGCAAUCCCCUGCUACCUGUACUGACGCUCAUGCACGAAAGCGUGGGGAGCAAACAGGAUUAGAUACCCUGGUAGUCCACGCCCUAAACGAUGUCAUACUGGCUGUUGGACGCAUUGCUGUUCACUAACCAAACUAACUCAUGAU
rnacentral:rRNA from 1 species